rnacentral:lncRNA from 1 species
ACAUAUAGAAGGGUACUCCUAUCUUCUAAGUCUCAGAAACAUAAUUAUCUCCCUACAGAUUCCCUGAAAGGGAAAAAUCCCAAGAAUCCAGAGAGCUUAAGAGAAAAAGAGACUGGUAAAAGAAAAGAUGUGAAGUCUCCAGCAACCUUAAAGGAAAAAGACUCUUCAAAACAAAAAGAAACUAAGGCUUCAACUAAUCCUAAGGAAAAAGCUGCAGUGAAAAAGGAGGGGGAGAAGAAAGCUACCUCAGAGAACCCUCAUGAACACAAGCACGAACGUGUUAAACGUGAAAAAACUGUCUCUCAGACUAAGCCAGAGGAGAAAAUUAAACAACAAAAGACAACUCCCACUGAGAAGUCAGCCCAAGCAAAGCCAGCAAAGCAUGAAGCAGUCAGACCUGAAAAAGACGUUCCCCUUACAAAACCAGUCAAACCAAAAAACACUGCAAAGCCAACAGCUGAAAUCCCAACAUCAGCCACAAAAAAAAUAAAGACAACUAAGGAAAAAGAAGAAAAACCAACUGAGAAGAAACAGCUGAAAGAUGAAAAAACUAAAGUAAAAGAAGAUCCACGGCAUCAAAACUUGACAUCAGCUCCUGUCCGCUACUUUCAAUGUGUCUUCCUAAAUGGACCUAAUGGAUUUGGCCUGCAAUUUCCUAUUAAUCCCCCUUCAAACAAGGAAGAAAAGGCUCACUCAAAGACUUCCAAGAGAAAGACAAGGAAACCGGGGCAGUAGAGAGACUGAGUCCAAUGAUCACUGACAUUUUGCACUUUAUCUUUUCUGCUGAGGUCCACAGUAGCUACAGUGGUACUUGUCAUUGCAAGAAUGUGAUCCGCUUGCACACAUGUACCUGGAAAAGGUUUCCAUGGGGCAAUGGCAGAACAAGCAGUAAUGAACUGUGUUUAACAAAGGUAGAAAUGUAACAGUGCCCAGUUUCUCAUGGAAAGGCUGCAAUGCUAACAAAGCAUUGAUGUGACUGUGUGUGUGAGCAUGUGCGUGUGUUUCCAUGCCUCUUUUGCUCUUGUUUUACUUUACCUACAUGCUCAGCAUUGAAGUGAGUCUGUUUUCCAUUUAAUCUUAUCUAAGGAGUGAAAGGUUGAAUGUAGCUCUUAUAUCAGCAAGAUUGCAAGACUAGCUGCAAUCCUAAACCAUUUCUUCUUAACGUUCAAUCAAAUUUCUGACAGGAAAAUGCCUCACUAAGUCAUGAAAAUGUGCUUUGUGACUGGUGCUAUUUUUAUGUCUCAUUGACCAGUGUAGCCCGAAGCUCACACUUACUUGGAGCAGCUCAAUACACUAUCAGUAAGUUGACUCCACAAGUCAUGCUAAUGAUGAAUUUUCUAUUUAGUCUGAAACUGUAAAAGCAUGGACUGUUUGCCCUGCCUGUUGGUAAAAUACAAGCUCUUCUCUUCCUAAGGCCCAAAGUGAGAAGAGAAAGUGAAACCACAUGUCAAAGGUUAGGAAAAUCACUGUUUUACCAACAUGAAGGUCUGAAGAAACAAAUGAAAUAAUUAUAGUGCUUCCACUUUUCUUCUGCAGCUAAAUCUGAUUGUUUUUCAGCAAAAACCAUGUAAAUGGACAAUAUACCACCCAACAAUUUGCCAUUAGCUUAAGCCAGAUGAAAAGCUAGGAUGUGAGAUGCCAUUCACAAAACUAAAGCAACCCAAAUUUCCAGUAAUUAUGUGAAUUUAAUGCUAUCUCAGAUCAGUGAACAACAGCAAAAACCAAAAUCCCAACAAAGAAAGAAUCAGAAGAAAAUUAAACAUAAACACAUUAAAUAACCCAGGUAUCUCAUUUUACUAAAUGAAAUUAAUGGACUUCCUCACAGCACACUACUGUAAAUGGCUUACAGUAGAACUGAAAGUAGAUGUGCUUGUCCUCAACCUUCUUUUGUGCAUUUAUGUAGAAAUAAAGGAUUUGUUGCCCUAAAAAAUAGACA